CAUGCAAGUCGAGCGGUAACAGACAUAAAGAUUCAGCUUGCUGAAUCCGGUGCUGACGAGCGGCGAACGGGUGAGUAACGCGUAGGAAUCUACCCAGUAGCGGGGGAUAGCCCGAGGAAACUCGGAUUAAUACCGCAUACGCCCUGAGGGGGAAAGGGGGCAAUUUAUUGCUCUCACUAUUGGAUGAGCCUGCGUAAGAUUAGCUUGUUGGUAGGGUAAUGGCCUACCAAGGCGACGAUCUUUAGCUGGUCUGAGAGGACGAUCAGCCACAUUGGGACUGAGACACGGCCCAGACAUCUACGGAUGGCAGCAGUUAAGAAUAUUGGACAAUGGGGGCAACCCUGAUCCAGGUAUACCGCGUGUGUGAAGAAGGCCCUAGGGUUGUAAAGCACUUUAAUCAGAGAAGAAGCAUUUUAAGUUAAUACCUUAAUUUGUUGACGUUAACUGAAGAAUAAGGACCGGCUAACUCCGUGCCAGCAGCCGCGGUAAUACGGAGGGUCCAAGCGUUAAUCGGAAUUACUGGGCGUAAAGCGCGCGUAGGCGGUUUAGCAAGUUGUAUGUGAAAGCCCUGGGCUCAACCUAGGAACUGCAUCCAAAACUACUAAGCUAGAGUACGAGAGAGGAGAGUAGAAUUUCUGGUGUAGCGGUGAAAUGCGUAGAUAUCAGAAGGAAUACCAAUGGCGAAGGCAGCUCUCUGGCUCGUCACUGACGCUGAGGUGCGAAAGCGUGGGUAGCAAACAGGAUUAGAUACCCUGGUAGUCCACGCCGUAAACGAUGACAACUAGCCGUUGGGCAGAUUUAACUGUUCAGUGGCACAGCUAACGCAUUAAGUUGUCCGCC
rnacentral:rRNA from 1 species